rnacentral:rRNA from 1 species
GUGUGUUUUAGUGGAACGCUCUGGGAAGUGCGAACGUAGAGGGUGAUAUUCCCGUACACGAAAGGGCACACAUAAUGAUGACGAGUAGGGCGAGGCACGUGAAACCUUGUCUGAAUAUGGGGGGACCAUCCUCCAAGGCUAAAUACUCCUGACUGACCGAUAGUGAACCAGUACCGUGAGGGAAAGGCGAAAAGAACCCCUGUGAGGGGAGUGAAAUAGAUCCUGAAACCGCAUGCAUACAAGCAGUGGGAGCACCUUCGUGGUGUGACUGCGUACCUUUUGUAUAAUGGGUCAGCGACUUAUAUUCAGUAGCGAGGUUAACCGUAUAGGGGAGCCGUAGAGAAAUCGAGUCUUAAUAGGGCGUUUAGUUGCUGGGUAUAGACCCGAAACCAGGCGAUCUAUCCAUGAGCAGGUUGAAGGUUGGGUAACACUAACUGGAGGACCGAACCCACUGUCGUUGAAAAGCCAGGGGAUGACUUGUGGAUAGGGGUGAAAGGCUAAUCAAGCCUGGUGAUAGCUGGUUCUCCCCGAAAGCUAUUUAGGUAGCGCCUCGGACGAAUACCAUAGGGGGUAGAGCACUGUUUCGGCUAGGGGGUCAUCCCGACUUACCAAACCGAUGCAAACUCCGAAUACCUAUGAGUACUAUCCGGGAGACAGACUGCGGGUGCUAACGUCCGUAGUCAAGAGGAAAACAAUCCAGACCGCCAGCUAAGGCCCCAAAAUCAUAGUUAAGUGGGAAACGAUGUGGGAAGGCAUAGACAGCUAGGAGGUUGGCUUAGAAGCAGCCACCCUUUAAAGAAAGCGUAAUAGCUCACUAGUCGAGUCGGCCUGCGCGGAAGAUGUAACGGGGCUAAAACUAUGUGCCGAAGCUGCGGAUGUAUACUUUGUAUACGUGGUAGGGGAGCGUUCUGUAAGCCGAUGAAGGUGUGUUGAGAAGCAUGCUGGAGGUAUCAGAAGUGCGAAUGCUGACGUGAGUAACGACAAAACGGGUGAAAAACCCGUUCGCCGAAAGACCAAGGGUUCCAGUCCAACGUUAAUCGGGGCUGGGUGAGUCGACCCCUAAGGCGAGGCCGAAAGGCGUAGUCGAUGGGAAAAUGGUUAAUAUUCCAUUACUUCUGUGUAAUGCGAUGAGAGGACGGAGAAGGCUAAAUCAGCCUGGCGUUGGUUGUCCAGGUGAAAGGAUGUAGGCAUGUAUCUUAGGCAAAUCCGGGGUACUCUAUGCUGAGAUCUGAUAGCAAGCUGUACUUGUACAGCGAAGUGGUUGAUGCCAUGCUUCCAGGAAAAGUCUCUAAGCUUCAGUUACACAGGAAUCGUACCCGAAACCGACACAGGUGGUCAGGUCGAGUAGACCAAGGCGCUUGAGAGAACUCUGCUGAAGGAACUAGGCAAAAUGGUACCGUAACUUCGGGAGAAGGUACGCUGUUGUUGGUGAUGGAACUCGCUUCCUGAGCUGACGACAGCCGCAGAAACCAGGCCGCUGCAACUGUUUAUUAAAAACAUAGCACUCUGCAAACACGAAAGUGGACGUAUAGGGUGUGAUGCCUGCCCGGUGCUGGAAGGUUAAUUGAUGGGGUUAGCGUAAGCGAAGCUCUUGAUCGAAGCCCCAGUAAACGGCGGCCGUAACUAUAACGGUCCUAAGGUAGCGAAAUUCCUUGUCGGGUAAGUUCCGACCUGCACGAAUGGCAUAAUGAUGGCGGCGCUGUCUCCAGCAGAGGCUCAGUGAAAUCGAAAUCGCUGUGAAGAUGCAGUGUACCCGCGGCUAGACGGAAAGACCCCGUGAACCUUUACUGCAGCUUGACACUGAACUUUGACCUUACUUGUGUAGGAUAGGUGGGAGGCUUUGAAGCUGGAACGCUAGUUCCAGUGGAGCCGUCCUUGAAAUACCACCCUGGUAAUGUUGAGGUUCUAACUCUGUCCCGUGAUCCGGGACGAGGACCGUGUCUGGUGGGUAGUUUGACUGGGGCGGUCUCCUCCUAAAGAGUAACGGAGGAGUACGAAGGUGCGCUCAGCGUGGUCGGAAAUCACGCGUAGAGUAUAAAGGCAAAAGCGCGCUUAACUGCGAGACCCACAAGUCGAGCAGGUACGAAAGUAGGUCUUAGUGAUCCGGUGGUUCUGUAUGGAAGGGCCAUCGCUCAACGGAUAAAAGGUACUCUGGGGAUAACAGGCUGAUACCGCCCAAGAGUUCAUAUCGACGGCGGUGUUUGGCACCUCGAUGUCGGCUCAUCUCAUCCUGGGGCUGAAGCAGGUCCCAAGGGUAUGGCUGUUCGCCAUUUAAAGAGGUACGCGAGCUGGGUUUAGAACGUCGUGAGACAGUUCGGUCCCUAUCUACCGUGGGCGCUGGAAAUUUGAGAGGAUCUGCUCCUAGUACGAGAGGACCAGAGUGGACGAACCUCUGGUGUACCGGUUGUGACGCCAGUCGCAUCGCCGGGUAGCUAUGUUCGGAAGGGAUAACCGCUGAAAGCAUCUAAGCGGGAAGCCUACCUCAAGAUAAGAUUUCCCUAGGACUUUAUGUCCUCUAAAGAGCCGUUCGAGACUAGGACGUUGAUAGGUUGGAUGUGGAAGCAUAGUGAUAUGUGAAGCUGACCAAUACUAAUUGCUCGUGAGGCUUGACUAU